CCCAUUAAAUAUGAAUAAAUAUGAAUAAUUCUGACAACCUAGUCUACAUCUUCUGAUCUUUCCCUGAUCAGCAAAGUGAUCCUGAAAUGUUCAGCCCAGGCAUGUGCUGCAGCUCAGCUUAUGAACUGCUCUCGCUGCAGAAUGCUUCUGGCAGACCUGAGACUCCACGACGGACUGGAGGUGGAUCCCAGGAAGGUAUCUAACCUUCUCUUCCAUUAGAGGAAAAUACCUGACUCUCUUAACACAUUUGAAUAGUUCAAUUCAUUGCUGUCAUCUCAACAGUUUCAUAUUUUAUUUAGAUAUGAAGAGUCUGUAAUACUGAUGUAAAGGUGCAACCUGUGUAUGGGCAUCCAGAUUUAACAACUUCUGUACUAUAGUGAUUUAGCAAAUAAUGUUGUAUUUUGAUGAUGAAAAUAGAUGAUUUAUCUACUUUAAAAUAUGCCUUCUGAAUAGAUCCAUGGAUUGCUUUCACCAGGCCUCCUGGAUCUGAUUAUAUGAAAAUACUGAUUUUUAUAAACUGAAAUAGGUCUAAAGAUUACAUACAUAAUAGAUAGGAUAAACAUAGGUCACCAGGAACUGCUGAUCACAGAACUGAAAUCUG